CCAUCUUAAUAAAAAAAUAAAAAAGAUCCUGGUCGGAAUGCAUGUGCUAUGCUGUAGUAAUAACACAUGAAUUGGUUGCAUGUCACUCUUGCGAGGUCUUUUCUUUUGAGUAUAUAUCAAAAUCUCACACUGCCAUGACUCACACAAAAUCCCACAUUCGGAACCUAAAAAACCCCUCCGAUCUCGCACAGGUACUCUCCUUCUCCAUCUCCAAAAAAGAAUAAAAUUAAAAAAAAAAGUGAAAAGAAAAAAAAAUGAUUAACCUAGGAGGAGAAAAGUAUUACCUUUUAUUUUUUACCGUCUUUCUAUUGUUUGCAUUUAUUUUUCAUCUAUAUUCUCCAAAAUUUUCCUCUAUUUUCUCUAUCCUUAGAAGCCUCAAUCGGGUGCAUAUGCUCGGCUUGCAGCAAAAGACUACCGUCGCGGUCGGGGAGUAAGAAGGCUAACCCCUCGUAUGCGAUCCCACCAGGUCCAUGAACACCGACCAGCCCCAUUCGAAGUUGACGUCGUAGAUUGGCAAUGGACCCAGUUGAAAGUGAGCGAACUCCCUAAUCUCCUUUUCUUCUUAAACCAUGCAUGAUCGAAUAGGGAAGCUCAGGAAUGCCACAUGGCUUUCUCUUCUUGUUUCCCA
rnacentral:lncRNA from 1 species